GAAGCGCUCGGGCCCACGAGCAGCUAGAGGCCCACGGAGGCCCACGGAGGCCCUAGAGACCGCGAGUGCCUUGUUUGUUUAAACUGUCUGCAAUAAAUGCCUUGGAAGGCUUUAACCCUCGCUAAACGUGUCAUUUAUCCGUGGAACCCGGCCCAAUCGAGUACCGGGUUGCCACACAGUGUGUGUGUGUGUGCCUGUGUGCCUGUGCACCUGUGUGUGUGUGUGUGUGCCUGUUUCAGGGCUGUUUGCUCACGCGGGAUGCGGGGCUGAUCGGCCAGCUGAAGGAGUUGGACCAACAGAUGAGUGAUCUCCGAUUGGACGGAGAGGAGUCACGUGACCAGUAGACAGACAGCCGGGCCAGCUCAGUUUCCUGUCCACCUGAAGUCCAACGCCAGGGUGUGUGGGGAAUCUCCCACACGACCCCCCCUACACAACGAAACGCCUGCUGUCUCCGUAGAAGAAGAUGAAUUCGUCUGGCAAGAAAAAUGUCCAUUUUGAAUUUAUCCAAAAAAAUCUGAUUAACUUGUCUGACAUUCUGCACGAUCCAAAAUUUGUUUUGGAUCACUGUUUACAGAACGAACUAAUAACCUGGAGAGAAUACAAAGAAAAGACAGAUGAUUCUUCGGCGGCUAUAUUGCGUCUAUUGAUGCAAAAAGGCGAGGAUCGCUGUCAGAAGUUCAUCUCCCUGGUGCUGAAGGACCCCGAGGUUCAGGAAACCUACCCCAGGCUUGAAGCCAUGCACUGGGCCUCCUUGGACUCCCCUCCCCCCCCCGUUCAAGAAAGAACCUCCAUGCCAGGCCAGGGCCCAAGACCGGAGAGGAGAGACGGACCGGGGUUUGGAGGCCAUCAGGCUCCUGGAUCUUCGCCCAGGGAGAAUGAUGUCGCCACCCCACAGAGCAUGUCAUGGGGUCUGAGGUGACUGAGCAGCAGCAGACCGGAGCCGUAUGGAUGAACCCUGAUGACUUCCAAAGAAGUUGUGAAGGAGUAAAAGAAGGGGGGAAUAUGUCUGACCAUUCUCUAGAUCUAAAAUAGUAGAACAAGUUUGGCGCUGUUCAAGUUUGGUAAAUACAGAGGAAUUACAGCUGAAGUAUAGUAAAACCUCCACUAUUACCCAUCAACUCAACUAAGUACUGUGUAGUUAUAACUGUUUUAGGUUGGUAAUAACUCAGAUAUUAUUGUGUACUUCCUAGGAAAUUAGGCAACCAAUUCUUAGAAACGCCUAUUAAUUCAAUUUGCAAUUGUAGUUAUCCAAGGUUUAUGUUGGUGACACCCCAAGUUUAAUGAUGUACUAUCUAGAAAUUAGCAUAGUACUUUCCAAUAAAAUACUACUACCUUUCUUGCAUUGUUAUUAUUCAUAGCUACACCCAUUUAGAAAAGGUUAAUUCGAUUUACCUUAGAAACUAUGGAAUUACUUACCUGGUAACAACCUCUGCAGGAACCGUUUUCCUCUGUCAUGAUACAUCUUCUUAAAUACUGGGUACGAAGUCGUUUGUUUCCAUGGUGUUACCUCGUUAUUACCAUAUAAUUUGUAAUAGAUUAUUCUCUUUUCUAUGCGAUCAACACAAACUUGUACCAUAUAUGUUCUGCAACGUCAUUCACCAGUAGUUGAGCACUUUAAUUUUAGUUAUCAAACCCCAAACCACUGCUGAUGAAAGGCAUAUUAAAAUUUAACAAAAUCAAAGGCUUAUUUUUCAAACACAGCAUGUCUCACAAACAGGCACUGACCAGAGCUCUAACCAAGAGAAAAGGGGCAAAGACCAGAGCUCUGACCAAGAGAAAAGCACCAAAGACCAGAGCUCUGACCAAGAGAAAAGCACCAAAGACCAGAGCUCUAACCAAGAGAAAAGCACCAAAGACCAGAGCUCUAACCAAGAGAAAAGCACCAACGACCAG